CAGGCGGGUUCUUAACCACUGCCCCACCAGGGAAGUCCCCUAGAAAUAGUCACUAUUAAGAAGGUUUUUCUUUAAAACUUACUUUUAUAUAAGUGUAGUAUUAAGUAACCAAAAGUGAAAAUAGCCUCUUCUACAUAUGGUAAUUAAACUGCCUUUCUAACCAUUUAUUUUUUAACUUUUUAUUUUGAAAUAAGUUCAAAUUUUCCCGUAUAUCCUUUACCUGAUUCCCCAAAUGUUAACAUGUGUAACUACAGUAUAAUGAUCAAAAUCAAUAAAUUAAUAAAAUAAUGGAUAAAAUAAACUAUUAUAUAACCUAUAGCAGUUACAAAUUAUACCACUAUAAUUGCCUAAUUCUGGUCCAGAAUUCAAUCCAGGAUCACAGUUUGCAUUUCAUUGUCAUGUCUCCUUACUCUUCUUUAAUCUGGAUCAGUUUUUCAGUCCUUGCCUUUUGCCACUUUUUUCAAGAGUACUGGCCAGUUGUUUUGUAGAAUAUCCCUCAGUUUGGAUUUGUCUGGUGAUCCCUCAUGAGUAAACUCAGAUUGUGCAUUUUGGGGAAGAAUUCCUGGAAAUGAUAUUGUGCCCUCCUUGGUGCAUCAUAUUAGGAGACACAUGUUGUUCUGUUACCAAACCAUUAUCUUUAGGUAGGACAUUAUAUUUUCUAAUUUAAACAGCAGGGAGGACUUCUAAAAACACCCUGUGGUGCAAAAGUAUCAAUUUUUUUUUUAAGAUAGAUGCCCCAUAAGUAUGAUUACUUUAUCAAAGGUUAGAACUAAGUAUAGUUUGCCAAAGUCCUUUUUAAAUGGGUUAUGCAAUUUUAUAAUGAAUGGAUUACUCUUUUGAAAGGGGGAAAAAUCCCAGCUCUAUAACUUGUGAUUUUCCUUUGAAAUACAUUUUCAUUACUUGGCUUCAUGUAUUCUAAUUGACAAGCUAAAUCACAGCCACUAGCCCAGUGAUUUAAUUUGCAUAGUGGCAGGUGGUCAUUCUUUAGGGCUGAAAUAAAUAUAUAAAUGGUUUACAAUGAGUUCUUGUUAAUUUUUUAAAGUUUAGUCUAAGGACCCUUACUCUCUACAUUGUCUGAUUCCCAUUUAAGAAAAAAAGGAAAGGACAAGUGAGGAAUGGUGGGGGGCGGGACGUGUUCAGUGCGUUAGAGAAGCUUUCCUGGGGUGAAAUUUAGAAGGAAGGUUUUGAAAUGAAUGCUACUGUGAAACACAAGAAAAUCGAAUGAGGAGGUGUCAUGAUUUUUGUUUGAAACUCCCAUCACUCCUCUUGGUGGCAGAGUUGUAGUACCAAAAUCUAGGUGUCCUGACUUGCAAAGAAAUUUACUCUACCUUGCUGCUUCGAACUGUCCUCCCACCCUAUCUCUGGUGAAGCUUUGUAGUUGUUUGUCUCCCUUAGUUGCCCCCUCCAGAGGCAUUACAUAGUACCUGGCGCUUAUCCAAGGGUCCUGAAAGCAUAUUAGGGUAUGCUUUGGCUGCCCUUUGGCUGCUGUUUCUGAAUAUAUGUGCUUAGUACAGCACCCAAACACCUGUCAUUUUUGAGCAAUUUCUAGGUCUUUAAAGAAUCAGAACAUUGUUCCUUUUUGAGCAAAAUAUUCAUUAUCUAACCUACAAUAUCAACCUCAAUUUUUACUACAUUUUAUCUUAACUAUAUAUUUAGAAGUUUGGUAAGAUGAUGAACUUUUGAUAGUCUUGAUGUUAGGCUUUUCUCCUUUAAGAUUGUUCUAAGUUUCCUCUGCUAUAUUUAAAUGAAGCAGUUCAAAUUAGUGUACAAAUUCGGCCUGGGGAUUUGAUGUUUGAGUGCCUAAUAUGUGCAAAACGUUUGUCUUUAAGGAGCCUAUAAGUAGAUUAAGAAUACGUAUGUGAAAAGUCAAAGGUGCAAAAUCAUAAUUAUUUUAAAUUACACUUGCUCUGGAUAACAUGUUGCAGAGCAUAGGAUAUAAAGUUCAAAAAACAAAACUCUUCUGAUGUCAUCCCACUUCCUCAGAGGUAAUGUCUAAUCUUUUUUGUAUCCUCCUGGGAACUUGCAGUGCCCACUCAAACAGUUCUGUCCUUGAAGAAUAUACACAGGUAGGAUCAUAUACAAACUAUUCUGUAAGUUGAACCCACACACUUUGUUGUAUAUCUUAUGCUUCAUUCCAUACUGGCACUUACCGCAUUCUUUUUAACGUCGGUAUAGUGUUUGAUGAGUGUAGCAAUUUAUUUAGCUAGUCCAUUGUUGAUAUUGACAGAAAUUGGGAUAUUUCCUUUUGUUUUUCCUUCAGUUGAAAGCUCUUCAGACCUGAGAGGUACAGAAAAUGUAGACUAAACUGAAUAUUUUUGAGAAUUGGCUUGAGGGAGAACAUAGUGUUAGAGCUGGGUAUAUUGAAAGGUGAAUGGUACAGAUUACUUUAAGUCAGUCAACAGUUCUUAGAGUGAUCUGUGGACCCCUGGGAGUCCUGCUGGGGGGAGAUUCAUGAGGUCACACCUAUUUUCUGUCUCUUUUACAGAUGAGAAACCUGAGGCCCAGAGAAAUUUCAGAACUUCAUCAAGUUGACAUAGCUAGUAAGCAGUGAACUGGGAUUUGAACAUAGGUAGUAAGCAGUGUAAGCUUGUGCCUUUUACAAGUCUGCUGUAAGAAGAACAAGUACUAACAGAAAAUGUUUCCUUUAUCUUAUGUACUUUGAUAUAAUUUAAUCCUGUAGGUUUGUUUUUGUUUUUGUUUUGCUGUAAUUACUUCAGUGUAUUCCUUCAUCAGAACCUUCAGGAGGCACCACAAAACCAGGUUGAAUUCUCUCAUCUCCAACCCUUUCCUGUAAUGCAUUGCAACCUGCUCCUACUGCCAACUUGGAACUACCCACUUCAUCUGAGUAUCUGUUGCUUAAGUUGCAGAAAGGGGGAGAAGCCGGGUUAAAGCUUACUCUCCCACUCACCAUUUGGAACAUAAUGAGGUAGACAUACAAAGUUAGAGUUACUAUUUAAAAGCAUUUUUCAGCCUGUUUGGCAUAUAAGUAGGUGCUAUAUAAACUACUGGGUUACUACCAGAAGAAUAGAAACCAAGAAUUAGAUACCCUUUUUCCUUGUAAAAAUUGAGAAUUGUUUGGGGCUAAGCCCAGUUGAAAAUUGACUUUCACCUUGAUUCCUAGAGUGUAUUUAGUAGGAAGAAGUGGAGUGUUUAAAAAAAAUUUUUUUGCCUAAUUCUACUACUGGAAUUAUCUUUCUCCCCCUUAAAAAAAAAAAUACUAGUUUAUUGUGCCUUAUCCCCCUAAUACAGUGAAAUCAAGUUUUUCUUUAAAUCCAUUGUAGAAUAUAAUUAUUAGCAUGUUAGGAUUUACUUAGCUUAGAUUGUUAUAGUUUUGAACAGAAUUACGUAGAAUGAAGUUUAACCCGUUUGGGGUGAUCG